AUUGAACGCUGGCGACAGGCCUAACACAUGCAAGUCGAACGAGUGGCGGACGGGUGAGUAAUGUCUGGGAAACUGCCCGAUGGAGGGGGAUAACUAAUGGAAACGGUAGCUAAUACCGCAUACCAUCGGAUGUGCCCAGAUGGGAUUAGCUAGUAGGUGGGGUAACGGCUCACCUAGGCGACGAUCCCUAGCUGGUCUGAGAGGAUGACCAGCCACACUGGAACUGAUACACGGGCCAGACUCCGACGGGAGGGAGCAUUGGGGAAUAUUGCACAAUGAGCGAAAGCCUGAUGCAGCCAUGCCGCGUGUAUGAAGAAGGCCUUCGGGUUGUAAAGUGCUUUCAGCUAGGAGGCGUUACUAGCGUGAGAAGCACCGGCUAACUCCGUGCCAGCAGCCGCGGUAAGUC
rnacentral:rRNA from 1 species